rnacentral:rRNA from 1 species
AACGAACGCUGGCGGCGUGCCUAACACAUGCAAGUCGAACGUGAAAGUACUUCGGUAUGAGUAAAGUGGCGCACGGGUGAGUAACGCGUAGGUGACCUGCCUUUUAAUGGGGAAUAACCAGAUGAAAAUUUGGCUAAUGCCGCAUACGAAGCACAAAUAUAAUAGUAGUGCUUGAAAGAAUGCCUCUGUAUAUGCAUUCGGUAAAAGAUGGGCCUGGGGAACAUUAGCUAGUUGGUGGGGUAAAGGCCUACCAAGGCAACGAUGUUUAUCCGGUCUGAGAGGAUGAUCGGACACACUGGAACUGAGACACGGUCCAGACUCCUACGGGAGGCAGCAGUGGGGAAUAUUGCGCAAUGGGGGAAACCCUGACGCAGCAACGCCGCGUGAGUGAGGAAGGACUUCGGUCUGUAAAGCUCUGUUAAUGAGGAAAAAUGGUAGUUGGUCUAAUAGGCCGAUUAUUUGAUGGUAUUCAUAGAGGAAGCACCGGUUAACUACGUGCCAGCAGCCGCCGUAA